CCUACGGGUGGCAGCAGUGGGGAAUAUUGGGCAAUGGGCGCAAGCCUGACCCAGCAACGCCGCGUGAAGGAAGAAGGCUUUCGGGUUGUAAACUUCUUUUAAGAGGGAAGAGCAGAAGACGUUACCUCUUGAAUAAGCCACGGCUAACUACGUGCCAGCAGCCGCGGUAAUACGGAGGUGGCAAGCGUUGUCCGGAUUAACUGGGGGUAAAGGGCGUGUAGCCGGGCUGACAAGUCAGAUGUGAAAUCCCGUGGCUCAACCACGGAACUGCAUUUGAAACUGUCGGUCUUGAGUAUCGGAGAGGAGGGCGGAAUUCCUAGUGUAGCGGUGAAAUGCGUAGAUAUUAGGAGGAACACCAGUGGCGAAGGCGGGCUGCUGGACGACAACUGACGGUGAGGCGCGAAAGCGUGGGGGGCAAACAGGAUUAGAUACCCCUGGUAGUC
rnacentral:rRNA from 1 species